rnacentral:rRNA from 1 species
UACGUAGGGUGCAAGCGUUGUCCGGAAUUAUUGGGCGUAAAGAGCUCGUAGGCGGUCUGUCGCGUCUGCUGUGAAAACUCGAGGCUCAACCUCGAGACGCCGAUGGAAACCCUCCAGCUAGAGUCCGGAAGAGGAGAGUGGAAUUCCUGGUGUAGCGGUGAAAUGCGCAGAUAUCAGGAAGAACACCCGUGGCUAAGGCGGCUCUCUAGUACGGUACUGACGCUGAGACGCGAAAGCGUGGGGAGCGAACAGG